ensembl:piRNA 21ur-13905 ncRNA
UUUUAAAUCCUUCUAGUUGGU